rnacentral:lncRNA from 1 species
AUUCUUGAGCAUAAUGAAAAUGUUGUUUGCAUGAUAUACCUCUAUAUGAUACAUUUGAUUAUUUCUUUAUUCUGCUCUUUCAAGUAAAUUACUUGAGAAUAACAAAGAGAAAGAGAGAUAAAGAAAAGAUAAUGGAUAUUAUUCAAGAGAAGUAAAAUCUAAGUAAAGGCAAAUACUCCAAUCUUAAGAAAAAGCAAAACAAGCAUAAUAUAUUCAGCACUUGUGUGAGCAUUCUUUUGGAAGGAUAAAAUCCGUAAUGAAUUACACUUAAAUAGAGGGAGAGUUUAAAGUAAAUAGUUUAACCUUUCUAUAUUGCUUAUCAUAGGGAUGGUGCCAAUGGGGAGGCUAGUGGUAGUACCCGGCACUAUUUGACCCAACUAUUCGGUGUAGGGCAUAUUAGGGACGGCACAAGAGGGAGGCUAGUGGUAGUACCUCGUGCCCCUUCCCAACUCCACCGGAUAGGGAGCAAAUAGAGUAUAGAGCAUAAGAAAGUUAUAAAUG